rnacentral:lncRNA from 1 species
ACCUUUCUCCAAACAACGUUGCCACACGCGGAGAGCACGGAGAUUUCUGGGGCUUUGGAGGGAAUCGUGAGCGGGCGGGAGGAGGCCGGGGACCACACAGAGAAUAACUUGUCUGACUACCAGUAUUCUUGGAUGCAGAAGUGCUGAAGAUGAGCACACACACGUACGGAGAAUUUCUGGAGAAUUCAGCUGCUCAGAACAAGAACUGAGAUCCAGAGAGAUGAUGACUUUGCCCAUAGACCAAACAAAGAAAUACAUGUUUCAGUCCUGUGUCCUCCUGCUAUGUGUGUCCGGAAUUGGUGGGUUCUUGGUCUCACUGACUUCAAGAAUGAAGCUGCGGACCCUCGCGGACCGUGUGUGAAUGCCUGCUCUGUGAGCCCUCAGAAUCUACUGGCUGAAUGAGUGCGUGGAGGAAAUGUGCUCAGAGCUGCUGUGUGUCAUCCUGUGUUUGAAGUGCUCCUGCAGCUAUCAUUCAUCCAGUUAAGAAUUUGAAGAAGUGUGUGCACAAAGCUCACAGGAUAUCGGCCAUGUUAAUGAGUCUGAUGUUGCUAGUAUCACAGGCACCGGAAAAUAUGCACAUUAUGCUGGAGCAUUAGAAUGCAACAGAAAGAGCCCUGGGCUUGGAGUAUGCAGAACUGGUUCUUGUUACAACUCCUCUUACUAGUGGGCUCUGGAAGAAAACACAUUGAAUUCAUGAUCAUGGUUAACCUUUGGAGAGAGAGAGGAGACCAGGAUGAAGGAGCCAGUCGAAGAUCCUGUUCAAGUGUACACUGAGCCAGCAGGUUCACCAGAAAGCUAUUGAGCGUUUGCUGGAACACAUUAUGCAGGCCGAACCUCCCGUCUGUAACCUGCACCUGCAGUUCACAGGAUUCAGCUCGGAGAGCUCUGUACUUCCGGGCCACUCAGUGGUUUGAGAUAUGUCUUCUUCGUGAUGCUUGUGUGAGAGUAAAGGAGGACUCCAAACAAACAAAUGCAGGAAAUGAAUGUGUAGAGGAAGAAGUCAGGUGAUGCUGGUGUCCUGGGGACCACUCCACGGAAGGAGAAGACACUGGGAAUAGAAGACCUUUGAAAAUCGUGAUGGGCUUAAAGAUCCCAGCGCAGGUCCCACCACUUAUUCGCUCUCACCUGGCAUCUCAAUCUCUGCAUCUGUAAAAAUGAAGAAAAUAAUCCAUCUCCCUGGAUGACUUCAUGAGAUUUUUUGUAGUCAUCAGUGAGGUACUGUACAUAGACGUGCUGUAAGGACGAAAAGUUCUUCACAAUAGGAUGCAUGGGAAAGCAAGCAGGGAGCAGUGGAGGAGGCUGAACCCAGAACGUGGGCUGAGGAUGCUGGGAGGGAACAGGGUUGGGGGCUGAAUCCUAACAGGAGGAAGCUACUGAGCUGCUUCUGUAAGUUGGGCCUGGAUGGAAACCCUGGAAGCAGUAACUCCAAGAAAGAUUCAAAAGUGGGACAAGAAGAGCAAGAACCAGGAAUGGAAAAACUCCAAGGAACAUGAGUGAAGAGCCUCGAAAAAACAGGACACUCACAGUUCAGGAAACUACCAAGGGUCCAAGGAGAGGCCUUGCUUGGCCGUGGUGUGGUCCUGCAACUCCAGGGCAGACCUAGACUCAUGGGAAAGUCCCUGCUUUGUGAUGAGGCUGAAAGAGGAUGAGUGGGGAGUGGCCGGAAGAAGAAAGGGUGUAACCAGAGACCAGUGUCAACAAGGAAUCUGGCUUGGAACGCUUUUGUCUGCAGCCCUCUUUGGAGCGUGACUUGCUCUUUCAGAGGUCUGUAUUUCUCUACCUGGACUACCCUGAGAGCUAACCCCAGUUAUUGGUCUGGAAGCAACGAAUGAAGGCCGGGGCAGAGCUUGAGGAGGGCAACAUCAUUUUGUCACAGUCGCCAUCAAGAAUCUAGUUGCAGACUGGGCGCUGUGGCUCACGCCUGUAAUCCCUGCACUUUGGGAGCCAAGAUCUGAAGAAGAAAACAGAAGCAACAUUCAAAUUAACAUCAGUCAACUGAUGGAAUAUUUUAGAUGAAGUAAGAGAAGCCAAGGCAUGUACCCUCAGGCUCUGGGCUUCUCCCUGCAAGGUUGGGAAGAAAUUUGGAGGAGGCAAAGUGGGAGCAAGUCAGAUGGAAGAGACAUUAUGGGUCAGAAAUUCAUAGUGUAGUGGGAGGUGGACCAAAAUGCCAUUGACUUGAUUGCCUGACACUGACAGGUGCUGAAAUAGAGGAAUAUACGGGAUGCCAUGGGAGGCCAGAUGAAGUGAAAAACCCACUCUUACUGGUGUGUGUGCACACACAGGAGGAGUUACGCAAUGCCUUGUCUGGUUUCCUGUCCUGGCACAUUUCCAUUGCUUAUUUCUAGAGCCACUUGACCGUAAUAGCUGGUCAGGGAUAAUGUAAAGAAUCUUCAUUUGGCAGCUCUGAGGACUGCCCAGUCAACCUUCCCUUCUGUCCUCAGCACAUAUACCUAGUUUCUUACUCGCUUUUGUGACUCAUCUCCUCUUGUACCCUAGACAUCUUUUCUAUUUUUAUACCUCUUGCACCCUCAAAGAUCCCUUGAGACUCUCUUGCCUAAACCUCUUUUAGGCAAAUCCUACCUCCUUUUCUCUAUACCUGCUUUGAGAGAAGGGGAAAAUGUCUUAAUAUAUGCACUAAUUAGGCCCCUUGAUGGUCUAAUUUCAGCCUUACAUUGUUUCGUUUUGUAAAUGAGCCCCAGGGAAGUUAAGUAAUUUGUCCAAAUUCACACAACUAGAAAAGACAAAAGCAGGACAUUGAAUGUAGAGCCAAUAUUCAGAGUACCUGAUUUUAGACCCAGUAUUCAAAGCACCGACUGCUAUGGUCUGAAUGUGUUCCCUCCAGAUUCAUGUGUUGAAAUCCUAACCCCCAAGUUGAUACUAUUAGGAGGUGGGACCUUUUCAGAUGCGACUGGGUCAUGAGUGUGCAGCCCGCAUGAUUGGGAUUAGUGCCCUGUCAAAUAGGAGAGACUGCAGAGAGCUAGCUAGCUCCUUUUCACCAUGUGAGGGCACAGUGAGACAGCCCUGUCUAUGAGGAAGUGGCUCUCACCAGACACUGUUGGCACCUUGACCUUGGACUUCUCAGCCUCUAGAACUGUCAGAAAUAAAUAAAUUUCUGUUGUUUAUAAGUGACGGAGUCUAAGAUAUUUUGUUAAUAGCAACCUGAAGGGACUAAGACAUUUACCAAAACCUUAAAGGCUCCCAGAUAAUCACCUCUAAAACACUCAGUCACAACAUUUUUCUAUUCAAAGUCUCCAGGGAGAAAAGACAAAGCACUACAAAGACUGCCUUGUAGUAUUACAAUCUCUUCACUUUUUCUAUCAAAUGUCCUGUUCCCCCUGUGCACCUAGAGACUCACAAGGCAUUUAACAUCUCUGCCUUGUGAGCCUAGAGGUACAUGAGGGGCAGAACCUUUGAUAGAAAAAGUAUGUGCAUGCGCACACACAGACAUAUAUAUAUACACACACACGUAUAUUUCUGCUUAGUAGAUACCACCAAACAAUUUUCCAAAGUGAUUGCACCAGUUUACAUUUCCACCAGCAGCAUAGGCAGUAAUUAUCCUCUUCAACAUUUGGUAUUGUCAGUCUUUUGAAUUUUAGCCAUUCUGGUGAGUUUGUAAUAAAAUAUCAUUGAGGCAUUAAUUACAUUUACCUGAUUAUUAAUGAGAAUGAGCACUACUUUAAUAAGUAUAAUAUUUUCCAUAGGUUUUUUGAAGACAUUGUCUCUCAGAUUAGAGAUGGUCAAGGCCAUACAGUUUCUUUUAGCACAGCUUUAGCUACAUCAAACGAAUUUUGAUUUGUCAUAUUUUCAUGAUUAUUCUGUUCAAAAUGUUUUCUAACUUCCCACUGUGAUUUCCUCUCUGAAUCUAUAGGUUUAGUUAGAAGUAAAGUUAGAAGUUAGUUUGAAACUUCCAAACAUAUGGCUACUUUGUGAAUAUAGUUUUGUUAUUGAUUUCUAGCUCAAUUCCCCUGUGGUCAGGUAACAUACUCUGAUUUCAGUUCUUGAAAUUUGUUGAGACUUGCUUAAUGGCCCAGCAUUUUGUAAUUUUGGUGUAUGAACUAAGUGUGUAUUCUGCAGAUGUUGGGUGCAGUAUUCUAUGAAGACCGAUUAAGUCAAGUUUACAAAUGUAUACUCCUGUAAAUGUAAACUGAUUUUUGUCUUAUUAUUCUAUUAGAUCUCAGAGAGAGUAAUAAAAUUUGAAUCUAUGCUAUUAGUUACAUGUAAAUUUAGAAUUGUUGUAUGUUCUUGACAAAUCUAAUUUUCAUCAUCAUGAGGUCACUUUCUUUGUCUUUAGGAAUGCUUUUAACCUUAGUGUCUAGUUUGACAUUAUUGUUAAAUCUUUGAGAAUUCUGAUAUUUUAGUCUUGUGUUUUGUAAGUAGCAUAUCAAAUUCAGUGUUAUUCGAGAUAACAACCUUUGUCUUUUAAUCACUGAAUUUAAAUAUUUACAUGUUAUGUAAUUUGUGAUAUUUUGGGGUUUAAAUCUACCAUUUUGCUCAGCUUUUCAAUUUGUACUGCUUGUUCUAUGUUCCAUUUUUUUCAUUUCUUGCCUUCAUUUGCAUUGAUUGAAAAUUUUUAAAAGUUAUUUGAGUCCUAUAAAUUCUUGUGGUGAUUACACCAAAUAUUGCAAUAUGUAUAUCUGACAUAAAAAUAAAAUAUCAUUUGGUUGUUUUUUCUCUUCUGGGGAA